AACGGCCAUACCAUGCUGAAUAUACCGGUUCUCGUUAGAUCACCGAAGUCAAGCAUCAUUGGGCGCGGUCAGUACUUGGAUGGGUGACCACCUGGGUACACCGCGUGCCGUU
rnacentral:rRNA from 1 species